CCUGGCUUCUGCACACAGAUGCCAAGGAUCAGGAUGGGAUUUGGUCUGGAUCCGUCUGACUUCAAAGGUCCUUUCCUUCCUCCUGUACCUGGGUGUCUCUCAGCUGCUUGGGAACAAGGAAAGUCAAAAGAGCAUAGACAGAACUUCCCACAGGUACUAGUGGAGCAACUCUAGACAGUGCCCGGGCCUUAGAGACCAGGACCUAUGUUUGGAAUUAUGGAAUGGUGGGAUUCUUUGGAUCUUCAAGCAUAGGAGCGACUUUAGACAAAACUUCAAAACGCAAAACAAGGUGAGAAUUCAACAUCACCGUGUCCUCCGAUGUUUGCCCACUUGAAUCCAGUUACUGUCUUCUUGGCCAAACACCUAAUGGAAAUCUUCCAAGGAGACAGAAAGCAAAGGUGACCGAGUGGCCUCAUCUUCCAGACAACUUCAGGAAAGAUACAAAAAAGACUUUUUGUGUUCCACAGCCCCGUGUCAUUUCCU